rnacentral:piRNA from 1 species
UCCAUUGACCCAUCAAUGUGCAGAGCGCUCA